AGAAUGUAGGGGAAUGACCAGUGUGAGAAUAUAGAGGAAUGACCAGUGUGAGAAUAUAGAGGAAUGACCAGUGUGAGAAUGUAGAGGAAUGACCAGUGUGAGAAUGUAGAGGAAUGACCAGUGUGAGAAUGUAGAGGAAUGACCAGUGUGGUGUGAGAAUGUAGAGGAAUGACCAGUGUGAGAAUGUAGAGGAAUGACCAGUGUGAGAAUGUAGAGGAAUGACCAGUGUUGUGUGAGAAUGUAGGGGAAUGACCAGUGUGAGAAUAUAGAGGAAUGACCAGUGUGAGAAUAUAGAGGUAUGACCAGUGUGAGAAUAUAGAGGAAUGACCAGUGUGGUGU